rnacentral:rRNA from 1 species
UGGCCUUGACAUAGAAAGAACUUUUCAGAGACGGAUUGGUGCUAGUUUACUAGAGCUUUCAUAC